GAUUAUUUAACUAUACAAGUAUAUAUUUUGAAAAUAUAAAAAAGAAUCUUUAUUUCUAAUAAUCU
rnacentral:tRNA from 1 species